rnacentral:rRNA from 1 species
CCUACGGGUGGCAGCAGUGAGGAAUAUUGGUCAAUGGACGAGAGUCUGAACCAGCCAAGUAGCGUGAAGGAUGACUGCCCUACGGGUUGUAAACUUCUUUUAUAUGGGAAUAAAAUGUUCCACGUGUGGGAUUUUGUAUGUACCAUAUGAAUAAGGAACGGCUAAAUCCGUGCCAGCAGCCGCGGUAAUACGGAGGAUCCGAACGUUAUCCGGUUUUAUUUGGUUUAAAGGGAGCGUAGGUGGAUUGUUAAGUCAGUUGUGAAAGAUUGCGGCUCAACCGUAAAAUUGCAGUUGAAACUGGCAGUCUUGAGUGCAGUAGAGGUAGGCGGAAUUCGUGGUGUAGCGGUGAAAUGCUUAGAUAUCACGAAGAACUCCGAUUGCGAAGGCAGUUCACUGGACUACAACUGACACUGAGGCUCGAAAGUGUGGGUAUCAAACAGGAUUAGAUACCCUAGUAGUC